rnacentral:rRNA from 1 species
UACAGAGGUCCCAAGCGUUGUUCGGAUUUACUGGGCGUAAAGGGUGCGUAGGCGGUCGGGUAAGUCUGACGUGAAAUCUUCAAGCUCAACUUGGAAACUGCGUCGGAUACUAUUCGGCUCGAGGAAUGGAGGGGAGACUGGAAUUCUCGGUGUAGCAGUGAAAUGCGUAGAUAUCGAGAGGAACACCAGUGGCGAAGGCGAGUCUCUGGACAUUUCCUGACGCUGAGGCACGAAAGCCAGGGGAGCAAACGGG